GAUGAACGCUGGCGGCGUGCUUAACACAUGCAAGUCGAACGGGAAUUACUUUAUUGAAACUUCGGUCGAUUUAAUUUAAUUCUAGUUGCGGACGGGUGAGUAACGCGUGGGUAACCUGCCUUAUACAGGGGGAUAACAGUCAGAAAUGGCUGCUAAUACCGCAUAAGCGCACAGAGCUGCAUGGCUCGGUGUGAAAAACUCCGGUGGUAUAAGAUGGACCCGCGUUGGAUUAGCUUGUUGGUGGGGUAACGGCCCACCAAGGCGACGAUCCAUAGCCGGCCUGAGAGGGUGAACGGCCACAGUGGGACUGAGACACGGCCCAGACUCCUACGGGAGGCAGCAGUGGGGAAUAUUGCACAAUGGGGGAAGCCCUGAUGCAGCGACGCCGCGUGAAGGAAGAAGUAUCUCGGUAUGUAAACUUCUAUCAGCAGGGAAGAUAGUGACGGUACCUGACUAAGAAGCCCCGGCUAACUACGUG
rnacentral:rRNA from 1 species